rnacentral:rRNA from 1 species
UACGUAGGCAGCAAGCGUUGUUCGGAAUUACUGGGCGUAAAGAGUGUGUAGGCGGUGCUCCAAGUCUGGUGUGAAAUCUCCCGGCUUAACUGGGAGGGUGCAUUAGAAACUGGAAUGCUAGAGGAUGGGAGAGGUAAGCGGAAUUCCUGGUGUGGCGGUGAAAUGCGUAGAUAUCAGGAGGAACACCUGUGGUGUAGACAGCUUACUGGACCAUUUCUGACGCUGAGACACGAAAGCGUGGGUAGCAAACAGG